rnacentral:rRNA from 1 species
GUAGGGAAUCUUGCGCAAUGGGCGCAAGCCUGAUCCAGCCAUGCCGCGUGAGUGAUGAAGGCCUUAGGGUUGUAAAGCUCUUUUGUCCGGGAAGAUAAUGACUGUACCGGAAGAAUAAGCCCCGGCUAACUUCGUGCCAGCAGCCGCGGUAAUACGAAGGGGGCUAGCGUUGUUCGGAAUCACUGGGCGUAAAGCGCACGUAGGCGGACCAUUAAGUCAGGGGUGAAAGCCUGGAGCUCAACUCCAGAACUGCCUUUGAUACUGAUGGUCUCGAGUAUGGAAGAGGUUGGUGGAACUGCGAGUGUAGAGGUGAAAUUCGUAGAUAUUCGCAAGAACACCGGUGGCGAAGGCGGCCAACUGGUCCAUUACUGACGCUGAGGUGCGAAAGCGUGGGGAGCAAACAGGAUUAGAAACCCUGGUAGUCC